rnacentral:lncRNA from 1 species
AUUUAGGGGGUUAAUAUUUUUUUUUCCAAUCUUGAUGUUAAAUGUUGUAAUUUAGGGAGUUAGUUAUUUUUUUUCCAAUCGUUAUCUUAAAUGUUAUAAUUUAGGGUUAGUUAAGAGUUACCACCCACACAUACAUACUCCUUUCCAUUUUCCCAAUCUCGUCUCUUACAAAUAAAUAAGUAAAUCACUUAUAAAAAGAGUUAUA